CGACUCUCGGCAACGGAUAUCUCGGCUCUCGCAUCGAUGAAGAACGUAGCGAAAUGCGAUACUUGGUGUGAAUUGCAGAAUCCCGUGAACCAUCGAGUCUUUGAACGCAAGUUGCGCCCGAAGCCGUUAGGUGGAGGGCACGUCUGCCUGGGUGUCACG
rnacentral:rRNA from 1 species